AGACGUCUCGUGCAGGAAUCUGUCACUCAGAUGUACAUUUCUGGGAGGACCUGUGGAGAUUAAGGGACAUUCCGGAUUUGCGAUUAUCCGGAAUCACCAUGGGUCACGAGAUUGUUGGUGCAGUGUAUUCAAAGGGAGCUCAAGUUGAAGAUUUGAACAUUGGCGACAGGGUGGUUGUCUACCCUUGGACAGGCUGCAUGGAG